AAACAUGAAAAGACUAGAUUGGCCUAGCCUCUCAGACUACAUUCUUCUCCCGUGCUGUAUGCUUCCUGCCCUCAAACACUGGACUCCAGUUCUUCAGUUUUGGGUCUCCUACUGAUUUUCCUUGCUCCUCACCUUGCAGAUGGCCUAUUGUGGAACCUUGUGAUCAUGGAAUCUGAACAUAACUGCAGUGAGCAUCUUGGAUCUCCAUGUGUUUUGUGCAACUCGAUGCCAGUGUUGACACAGACUUAAUGCUGCCACUGAGGGAUUUGUGCUGCUGCUUUAAUGUAACUCUUCUGCAGUGGCUUUAUGGCCCUGCUGUCCAACUUAAUAACCACAGCUCGUUGUUUGGCGCAUGGGUCUCUCUUUGCCCUAAAUGCAC
rnacentral:lncRNA from 1 species